rnacentral:lncRNA from 1 species
UUACAAGCACCCGACAUGGUAAAGGACGCAACAAACAAAUCAUCUCAUCUGAUUCAGAAUAUGAUUAACCAGCAUUAAACAUGUGGCAGGUUCACUCUAAGCUAAUUUGAUUGUUUCACAAAAAGAGUUCGCCUUUUAAGGUUGAAAGCUUGGCUUGGGCAUCAAUAGCAAGUGUCCCCCAAAAGAGAUAAGAGUCAAUAGAAGGAGUUAUCAUACAUUAAAGUAUCCUUUUAGAUAUGGGCAACAGCCGAAGUAUCCUUAUACUCAUAUUAUUUUCAUACUCAACCUUCACAUUAUAUAAUUUGUACAUGCCAGUGAAUUGGAAGAAGAAAAAGGUUGAUAGAGCCGGCGUAGAAUGAUCCAACCAUUGGAACCAGAGCCACCAUUAUCAUCUGCCCCGAUCUGGCCGAACCCAACACAUAACCUCCCAUGGUUUAUAAAAUUCCUUAUCUUUCUCUUAUCAAUCCUUCCUCUUAUUCUUCUACUCUCUGGCUCGAUCUUAUACUUUGCUUUCUAAAAAUCAUGUGAAAGUUAGCAAAUUUCAGACAAACUUUUUUGGUCUUAUUUGAAAAUCAACAUAGUGGAG